rnacentral:rRNA from 1 species
UACGUAGGGGGCAAGCGUUGUCCGGAAUCAUUGGGCGUAAAGAGCGUGUAGGCGGCUCGGUAAGUCCGCUGUAAAAAGUCCAGGGCUCAACCCUGGGAUGCCGGUGGAUACUGUCGGGCUCGAGUCCGGAAGAGGAGUGUGGAAUUCCUGGUGUAGCGGUGAAAUGCGCAGAUAUCAGGAGGAACACCAAUGGCGAAGGCAGCACUCUGGGACGUGACUGACGCUGAGACGCGAAAGCGUGGGGAGCAAACAGG